AUUGAACGCUGGCGGCAGGCCUAACACAUGCAAGUCGAGCGGGGUUUUCGGACCUAGCGGCGGACGGGGUGAGUAAUGCGUAGGAAGCUACCCGAUAGAGGGGGAUACCAGUUGGAAACGACUGUUAAUACCGCAUAAUGUCUACGGACCAAAGUGUGGGACCUUCGGGCCACAUGCUAUCGGAUGCGCCUACGUGGGAUUAGCUAGUUGGUGGGGUAAUGGCUCACCAAGGCGACGAUCCCUAGCUGGUUUGAGAGGAUGAUCAGCCACACUGGAACUGAGACACGGUCCAGACUCCUACGGGAGGCAGCAGUGGGGAAUAUUGGACAAUGGGCGAAAGCCUGAUCCAGCCAUGCCGCGUGUGUGAAGAAGGUCUUCGGAUUGUAAAGCACUUUAAGUUGGGAGGAAGGGCAGUAAGUUAAUAGCACAUAGCCUUGACGUUACUCGCAGAAGAAGCACCGGCUAACUCUGUGCCA
rnacentral:rRNA from 1 species